AUUCAUGGCACAACGAAAAGGCUUGGGGGUACACAAGACAAAAAAGGUUGGGAAAUACUGCUCUACAGUAUGUUGGCUCUGCAAAAUUACUAAGAGAAACCAAAUCGGGGGCGUUCAUGCUGAAGCAGAACGAGAAAAUGACAAGGUGAUGAUUUUCAAUUUUUUACCGUACCUCUUUCAAGAACUGCUCGAACUGAAGGUCCAGCUCUUCUUUGGACGCAGAAGAAAACCAAGCAGCAACAGAAGAGGUGAGACGAAAGUCCAAAUAUCCAACUGUUGGUCAGAAACCAGGCUGCUCAGACUUCUUGAUGAAAAGGCUUCAGAAAGGGCAAAAAUACUUUGACUAGGGCGAUUACAACAUGGCCAAGGCGAAGAAAAGCAAACAGCUACCUGCCUCCCUGCCCGACAGAAGUGUUGUCACAGGAGAUCACAUACCCACCCCCAAGGAUCUACCCCACAGACGGCAAUCUUUAGUCACAACAAGCAAACUGGUUGGCUGACAAAAUGUUUCCAGUAUUACUUACAUUCAGAAAUCUCACAGAAAUUAUAAUAUUUCAUUUCAAACAUCCACACGUACCUUCUAGAGGGGGCCGAUUUAUUUUACCAUGGAAGGUUGAGAGGAAUGUUUUGUCUGUUUUCACGUUACUUCUAUACAGUUUUAUCACUUUUGCCUUGUUCUACAACAGUAGAAGCAUUUGGGCGGAGGUGGACAGGUUGACCAAAAUAAUGUUUAAAAGCAGGUAGUAGGCCUUUGGAAUACAAUACAACACAGAUGUUGAAUGUUACCAUACGUUUUGUUACUUAACUGAAAGUAAGAGUAUGUUGGAUACAUUAAGUGCAAAUUAUAUAGACUAUUUCAAGAAUGAGGUCUUCAGAAAACAGCAAAAAGUCAACCGCUGCAGUUAUGGGUAGAGAUUAGGGAUGCCCAAUGUGAAAAAUUUCAGCCGACACCGAUAUUGAUAUUGCGGUUUUGGCCAAUAACCGAUAUUAACCGAUACCGAUUAUUUUCUUUUCUUUUAAAAAAGAGAUAACAUUUAAUACAGACUGACAAUGAUGCAAACAAACUGAAAGUGUGAAUGUCCUCUCAUUUCCAAAAACACUUUUAAACUCCCUGUGAUAAAAUUAGAUAAAAAAUUGAGACAAACAAUGAAAGUCACCGUCAAGUCCAAUCUUUUAGAACCGUAAUAUAUAUUAAAAAAACAUUGGAGUUAACAUCGGCCCAGUUUUACCCAUCGGACCGAUGUCCGAUGUGUUGAGAAAUGUCAAAUAUCGGCUGAUACUGAUACUUCUGGCCGAUACAUCGUGCAUCCCUAGUGAUAGUUCAUUAGUGUGCUUCACAGCAGACAUACCAUAUGCCCAAAAGAUGAAGAGAGAUUGUGGCUACCAUGAUUGGAGAGUUCAGAGUCGUACUGUGACAGAAUGUCUUGAUAUGAUCAAAUGCCUUAAGCUUUUGGAACAUUAGUGUUGUGAUUUUUUUGCUUAAUUUCCAUUUCCAUUUCCUUGUGGGGAAUUACAAAGAAAAUAUUUUAAACCUUUUCUCCCUACUCCUCACUCUUGCAGUACCAGCAAUCUAUACAUACAAUAAAUCAUAUUUUUUCUUGGUGUCAAGGUGAGGUUGUACUGUUUGCAAUAAUUUACACUGUUUCUCUGCCUACACCUGCAAAACUAGUAGGCCUACUGGUAAACUUCCGGCCACAUACUGUAAGUAGUGCAAAUGAACACGGAAAGUGCUUACUAUGCUUAAGGUGCUAUGUCAGUGUUGAGUUCCACAUAAAUGCCCCUGUAUUUGACAUUAUCCAAUACACUAAAUUCAAUCACACUAAGUAGAAUCAUAAUAAAGCACACUUGUUAUAACAUCCAAUAAUCAGAAAACAUAUUUUGUCAUGUGAAAAUGCACUUUUGUAGGCAUUGCUAUUGAAAGUAAGCUAACAAUGACACAGAUGUAGGCCUAAUAUGAACGAGGUGAUUUUGACCUGACGUCCAGUAAUGUGUGGUAGGUUGGUACCUAAGACAAUUGCCAUUAUUUGAAUGUGAUGAAUGUGAUUUUAAAAAGCAUCUAUUGUGUUUCUUUGUUUAUUAUUAUGUAAUAAUGUGCAUACGUGUGCAUUCAGGCACUUAAAACUCAAAUGUUAAAGCUGACGUAGGGUUAACUGUACUCUCUUCUUCAAUUCAGAUCACCCACUUUCUCUGUGACUUUGUUAAGUUAAGUCUGCAAGGGUCUAUUCUAAAUAAUUGCACAAGCUUGUUAGUUUUUACUAAAAGAAUGUAUUAAAGACGGAC